rnacentral:misc_RNA from 1 species
GUCGCAAAGGUAAUUCCAAUAGAAUGGCCCUGGCACUGAUGUUAAAAGGAAUCAAUCCAAAUAGGGAAAAAUUUGGAGCAACCAAAGACCGCAUUGACAAUUACUCCUCGCUAAGAAUGUUCCUCCUUAACUUCAAUAUUCUUUUAACUCAGAAAAAUCUCCUUCCCUGGAUCAGGUGCUUGUUUUUACUACCUAGGUUUAUAUCUCCACACCCUCCUGUGCUCUCAUUAUCCAUCCCACUUCCACAACUGUAUCUGUCUGCUUCCACAAAUUCUCACUAUUUUGCUGCUGUUUCAUUUGUUUAUUUCACUUUUGGACUCCAGACUCACACUUGAUCAUCCAUGUUAACCACAACACUUCCCAUUAGCACAUGACUUGGUAAACUUCCGCACAUGAUGCCACCAUAGUUUACGGAGAUCAACUAUCCUCUUAUCGCUUCUUUUUGCUCUCCAUAACCUACCCAGAAUCCAUAUUUUGAAUAAUUUUGGGGCUCCUGCAAUCCACAUGUGCCUCUACUUAAAAGAACCCUCUUUCCAAUUCUUCAGCACAUUAGUAGAUCCAAAUCAAAGGGAAGGCGAACCCACUAGUAAUAAUUGGAGGUUAUAAUAACUAAUAUUGUCCAAAUUAAGCCGACCAAUAUCUACUCC